GACGAACGCUGGCGGCGUGCUUAACACAUGCAAGUCGAACGGUGAAGCCUUCGGGUGGAUCGAGUGGCGAACGGGUGAGUAACACGUGAGCAAUCUGCCCUCGACUCUGGGAUAACGUUCGGGAAACCGGAGCUAAUGCCGGAUAUGACAUCUGGCCGCAAUGGGUCUGGGGUGUGGAAAGAUUUAUCGGUCAAGGAUGAGCUCGCGGCCUAUCAGCUUGUUGGGGGGUAAUGGCCCACCAAGGCGACGACGGGUAGCCGGCCUGAGAGGGCGACCGGCACACUGGGACUGAGACACGGCCCAGACUCCUACGGGAGGCAGCAGUGGGGAAUAUUGCGCAAUGGGCGGAAGCCUGACGCAGCGGCGCCGCGUGAGGGAUGAAGG
rnacentral:rRNA from 1 species